GGCGGGUGUAGCUCAGAGGUAGAGCAUCGGCUUCCCAAGCCGAGGGUCGCGGGUUCAAAUCCCGUCGCCCGCUCCAU
rnacentral:tRNA from 1 species